rnacentral:rRNA from 1 species
UGGGGAAUUUUGGACAAUGGGCGAAAGCCUGAUCCAGCAAUGCCGCGUGCGGGAAGAAGGCCUUCGGGUUGUAAACCGCUUUUGUCAGGGAAGAAACGCACCGGACUAAUAUUUCGGAGUAAUGACGGUACCUGAAGAAUAAGCACCGGCUAACUACGUGCCAGCAGCCGCGGUAAUACGUAGGGUGCAAGCGUUAAUCGGAAUUACUGGGCGUAAAGCGUGCGCAGGCGGUCAUGCAAGACAGAUGUGAAAUCCCCGGGCUUAACCUGGGAACUGCAUUUGUGACUGCAUGGCUUGAGUGCGGCAGAGGGGGAUGGAAUUCCGCGUGUAGCAGUGAAAUGCGUAGAUAUGCGGAGGAACACCGAUGGCGAAGGCAAUCCCCUGGGCCUGCACUGACGCUCAUGCACGAAAGCGUGGGGAGCAAACA